UCGAGGAUCUUCGGCAAUGGGCGAAAGCCUGACCGAGCGACGCCGCGUGAGCGAUGAAGGCCUUCGGGUUGUAAAGCUCUGUCGGGGGGGAGAAAGGGCAACUUGAUCGACCCCCGGAGGAAGCACGGGCUAAGUUCGUGCCAGCAGCCGCGGUAAGACGAACCGUGCGAACGUUAUUCGGAAUCACUGGGCUUAAAGGGCGCGUAGGCGGGUCGUCAAGUCAGGGGUGAAAUCCCGCGGCUCAACCGCGGAAGUGCCUUUGAUACUGACGGCCUCGAGGGAGGUAGGGGCGUGUGGAACUUCCGGUGGAGCGGUGAAAUGCGUAGAUAUCGGAAGGAACGCCGGUGGCGAAAGCGACGCGCUGGACCUCUUCUGACGCUGAGGCGCGAAAGCCAGGGGAGCAAACGGG
rnacentral:rRNA from 1 species